ACAAUAAUAUUAUAAUCUAGUAUAUUAAUUUUCCAAAUUAAAGGUCUAUAAUUGAAUAGUUAUUGUA
rnacentral:tRNA from 1 species